CACAUCUUGUUUCAAAAAAGUGAAGAUACCAUGAGAUAUCAGUCCUAGUCUUCGUGAGUUGCUUAAGCCAUAGUAAAGCCGAUUUCUGAAGACCAGUAGGUGGAAGGAAAAGUUAGAACCAGAACACAAAAUAAACAGGGAAUGAAGACCUCAGCCCUGAGAACUGCACGUGAGGUGUGGCUUUCCAGAGUCCAUUACAUGGAGUCCUAAGACCCUGAAGGGUGAUGAAGAGUGUCCUUGAUUACUGUGUUGAGGAGCUGGAAGUCCUGCUGCUCAGGGGAGGUAUCUGAAACACUGAAUCGUGGAACAAUGUGGGUGAGGACAGAGCAGACAGUACCUGGAUAAGCGCACUGAAGCAGAGCUACGGAUUUGCCUCCAGGAGCGGCACACAAGUCCAGGACUGUCUCCCCAUCCUUCAGUUCCAGAGCCAGUACUGGAAGAAGAGAAGCAGCAUUAAGCAGGUAGUACGUCUUCAAACGUCCCGGCUAAUGUCGUUCUGAAGGCAUUCGGUCUGGAGUUCGGCUGAGGUAACACUUCAUUGACUUGGGAUAAUGUGGCAAAGCGUCCUGAAGGACUGUGUGAUAGCCCCGCAAGAGCAAGGUCUUUUCCAGUUCAGAGGGAUAACUGAAUCGUUUGAAGAGGUCAGCAUAUUGCCACAGCGAUGGAGAUAUCAGAACAUCCCUGGGACAGAAAAUGAGCAAUAAAUGAGUGUUAGCAUCGGGAACGAGUACAUUUUGAAGAUGAAGAGGGUGCAUGUGGCCAUAGGUUUACACUUCAUUUACCUGCGAUUUUUCAGACAGGAUCUGUAAUGGUGAAUCUGGACUGCUGCUGUGACUGGGAUGAGAAACAGUUGCAUUCAUUUCUGCAGACCUCUGGCUUUUCCUCUGAGAUGACCAGUUUCUGAGGCUUUUGCCUAAUCAAUAGAUUAAUCCCUGGCAGGUUCAUAUACUGUACCGUGGGUGGGCAUGAUGAAAAGUCAGAUGUGGGGCCUUGCUGGGGGACAGUACACAAUAGGGCUGUGCCCUGGGGAAGUAAAUUUUGCCUCAGCCCCUCCCAUUUCCUUUCCUAUCCGCAGGCCCUGACAAUGUGGGUGACUUUGUUCCACUAAAUUCUCCCCGCUCAUCAUGAACUGACAUGAUGAAUCUGAAUCUAUGAGCAAAAUACAUCUAUCACUUAUCAUUUUCAUAACUAACUCUGUAACAGCAAGACAAAAACCUGACUAAUUCAGGAUUGGUCUUCCUGACUUUUCUUUUUGUCUCAUAAGGCUGCAAUGUUCACGCUGGCUUUAUUUAAAAAUAUGAUUUUAUUCAUCUUA
rnacentral:sRNA from 1 species